UGGAGGUGAUGAGCGUCCUUACCCUGACUCCAAAAUGGAGGCAAAAUCUGAUUUAAUGAGCCUGAUCC